UCCCUGGUGGCUUAGACGGUAAAGCGUCUGCCUGCAGUGCACGAGACCCGGGUGUGAUCCCUGGGUCGGGAA
rnacentral:tRNA from 1 species